GCAAGUCGAACGGCAGCGAGUUUUAGGGUAACCUAAAAUGUCGGCGAGUGCCCUUUAGGGUGAGCUAAUGCGUAGGGAUCUAUAACAGAGUUUAGGUAGUUUGUGGAAACACAAAGUAAUACUAAAUGAAUCAUAAAUGAUAAAGCUGGGGACUUUAAUCGGCCUGGCGCUCUGAGGUGAACCUACGUUAGAUUAGCUAGUUGGGAGGGUAAAGGCCUACCAAGGCGAAGAUCUAUAGCUGUUCUGAGAGGAAGGACAGCCACACUGGGACUGAGACACGGCCCAGACUCUUACGGGAGGCAGCAGUGGGGAAUAUUGGACAAUGGGCGCAAGCCUGAUCCAGCAAUGCCGCGUGUGUGAAGAAGGCCUUCGGGUUGUAAAGCACUUUCAGUGGGGAGGAUGUUAAUUGGGUUUAAGAGAUCCAGUUGAUGACGUUACCUACAGAAGAAGCACCGGCUAACUCUGUGCCAGCAGCCGCGGUAAUACAGAGGGUGCAAGCGUUAAUCGGAAUUACUGGGCGUAAAGGGUGAGUAGGUGGUAGUUUAAGUUAUGUGUGAAAUCUCCGAGCUUAACUUGGAAAGUGCAUGUAAUACUGAACUACUAGAGUACUGUAGAGGGCGAUGGAAUUUCCGGUGUAGCGGUGAAAUGCGUAGAUAUCGGAAGGAACACCAGUGGCGAAGGCGAUCGCCUGGACAGAUACUGACACUAAUACACGAAAGCGUGGGGAGCAAACAGGAUUAGAUACCCUGGUAGUCCACGCCGUAAACGAUGAGAACUUGCUGUUGGGUGCCAAUUAGGCAUUUAGUAGCGUAGCUAACGCGAUAAGUUCUC
rnacentral:rRNA from 1 species